rnacentral:rRNA from 1 species
CAGUAGUCAUAUGCUUGUCUCAAAGAUUAAGCCAUGCAUGUCUCAGUGCAAGCCGUCUAGUACGGUGAAACCGCGAAAGGCUCAUUAAAUCAGUUAUGGUUCCUUAGAUUGUACCCACGUUACUUGGAUAACUGUGGUAAUUCUAGAGCUAAUACAUGCCGACAGAGUUCCAACCAAACGCGCGGCUUCGGUCGUCGCGUUUAGGAAGGAACGCUUUUAUUAGAUCAAAACCGGCUAAGCGGCGGUUCGCCGCCGUUAGUGGCCUGCGCAAAGAUUUGGUGACUCUGAAUAACUUCGAGCUGAUCGCACGGUCUCGUACCGGCGACGUAUCUUUCAAAUGUCUGCCUUAUCAACUGUCGACGGUAGGUUCGACGCCUACCGUGGUGGUAACGGGUAACGGGGAAUCAGGGUUCGAUUCCGGAGAGGGAGCCUGAGAAACGGCUACCACAUCCAAGGAAGGCAGCAGGCGCGCAAAUUACCCACUCCCAGCUCGGGGAGGUAGUGACGAAAAAUAACGAUACGGGACUCAUUCGAGGCCCCGUAAUCGGAA